GGAGAGAUGGCCGAGUAGGCUGAAGGCACUCGCCUGCUAAGCGAGUGAGGGGCCUAAAACCCCUCCGCGGGUUCGAAUCCCGCUCUCUCCGCCA
rnacentral:tRNA from 1 species